rnacentral:rRNA from 1 species
UCAGAUCUCAUCGACGACGGGUAGCCGGCCUGAGAGGGCGACCGGCCACACUGGGACUGAGACACGGCCCAGACUCCUACGGGAGGCAGCAGUGGGGAAUAUUGCACAAUGGGCGAAAGCCUGAUGCAGCGACGCCGCGUGAGGGAUGACGGCCUUCGGGUUGUAAACCUCUUUCAGCAGGGAAGAAGCGAAAGUGACGGUACCUGCAGAAGAAGCGCCGGCUAACUACGUGCCAGCAGCCGCGGUAAUACGUAGGGCGCAAGCGUUGUCCGGAAUUAUUGGGCGUAAAGAGCUCGUAGGCGGCUUGUCACGUCGGUUGUGAAAGCCCGGGGCUUAACCCCGGGUCUGCAGUCGAUACGGGCAGGCUAGAGUUCGGUAGGGGAGAUCGGAAUUCCUGGUGUAGCGGUGAAAUGCGCAGAUAUCAGGAGGAACACCGGUGGCGAAGGCGGAUCUCUGGGCCGAUACUGACGCUGAGGAGCGAAAGCGUGGGGAGCGAACAGGAUUAGAUACCCUGGUAGUCCACGCCGUAAACGGUGGGCACUAGGUGUGGGCAACAUUCCACGUUGUCCGUGCCGCAGCUAACGCAUUAAGUGCCCCGCCUGGGGAGUACGGA